GUCAAUGUUUAAUCGUGAACGUGUCAAACUCCCAACCAGUCAAGAUCAAACCGCAGUUCUCUAUCAUACGCUCGUACAAAGAGUGUGAAAAAGUGUUAAACUCUUGUUAAGCUGACAAGGGUCUUACGCAAAAAUGAAUGAGUCGACUGUUACUACAAAGCAGGGUAAAGUACAGGGUACUAUCGUAAAAAGUGUCUUGGGCGCUUCUUACAUCGCUUUUUACGAGAUACCAUUCGCGGCUCCUCCUAUUAGAGAACUCAGAUUUAAGGAUCCAGAGCCACCCGUUCCAUGGACGGAUAUCAGAAAUUGCACCAAAUAUACCAAAAAGAUCUGUGUACAGUCGAGAGAAUAUCCACCUUACAAUGUAAUCGGUAACGAGGAUUGUCUUUACCUGAAUGUGUAUACCAAUUCUAUCAGUGGAUCAAAGCCAGUCAUGUUCUGGAUCCAUGGCGGUAAAUUCGUAACAGGAUCCGCAAGCCCCGGGCUAACAAGUUCUGAUUACUUAGUCGCAAAAGACGUCGUUCUUGUUACAGCUAAUUACAGAUUGGGCGCAUUCGGUUUCUUGAACCUUGGGCACCGAGUCGCGUCCGGAAACCAGGGCUUGAAAGAUCUGAUCGCAGCUCUGCAGUGGGUUAAGGAGAAUAUUGCUAAUUUUGGAGGCGAUCCCGGGAACGUCACGAUUUUUGGUCAAAGCGCGGGAGGAGCGUUAACUCACGCCUUAUCUAUAUCGCCAAAAGCACGAGGACUCUUUCACAAAGCAAUCUUACAAAGUGGAUUUUUGACUGCCAGUUGGGGCUUCGGACAAAAUUGUGUGGAACGCAGUUUUAAACUCGCGUCGAACCUCGGAAUAACGUCGACAGAUCCCAAGGAAGUCGUCGAAAUGUUGCGUAAAAUGCCCGACAAGGAUAUCGUCGGAGCUUAUUCGUCCAUUCUUACAAGACAGGAGUUGGAGUUAUACGAGCUGCUCUUUGGGGCGAGUUACGAUGGAAUGGCAGACGAUCCAGUUUUUCCAUUGCCAAUCGAACAAUUAUACUCGAACGAUAACAGCAUUCCUAUUAUGGCUGGUUACCUGCCAUACGAGUGCACCAUGUUCUGCAACGCGAAUAAGGAAGAAAGUAUGGAAGCUUAUAAUAAUUAUCUACCGGAGUACGUGAAUGUCUUAGGAAAAUUAGAAAAGUUAGGACCCGUAGAAUUAGAAGAAUUAUUAAAGACUGUCAAGUGUCGGUAUUUCGAUGGGCAACCAAUUAGCAUAAAGAGACUGGACAUGCUUAUAUAUUUCCAAACAUAUGUUUUUUUUAUCGCACCCUUAAAACUGUACCUGAGGGAUCGUUUGAAAAGAACGUCCACGCCUAGUUACGUUUACAGAUUUUCGUACGUCGGGAAUGAGAAUACAUACACGGAUCUCAGGUUUAAACGUUUGCUCAAUGGGGCAUCUCAUAUGGACGAAUUGGCAUACCUGUUUUACUCGCCUAUUUGUAAAGCCAGAAACCGUGAACCACCUGUAAAUGGCACGAAAGACAGAAUUAUACUGGAACGUCUGACCACGAUGUGGACCAACUUCGCUAGAACAGGAAAUCCUACCCCGUGUCACGAUGAUUUCGUCAAGACAAGUUGGAAGCCCGCGACAAAGGAUAAUUUCUAUUGCUUAGACAUCGGCGAAGAGUCUGAAUUGUUAACCAAGGAACCGGAAUUAUUCUGUAGCUCCAAUUGAACAUUCUAGGUGAAUCCAUUUCAAAUGAACUACCUAGAUCUAAUCCAGACCCGAUGCCAGAAAUAAGUUAUCAAGCGACACUUGCAUUUGUCACAUGAAAAAAUAGUAAAAACAAUUUUCUGGUCGGAUGACAAUAUCUGGUUUGAUUUGAAAAAAGUACAAUUUGUUUCAGUACGUCUAAAGAUUGUCUCGUAUACCAGGGUUUGUAAUCUAUCUUUUAAAUCGAUAUUUACGUUAUUCUUCGCUUUCGUUCGAACAUUCUUUCCUAAUAAGAAAUAUUUGUCCUCUUGAAUGGAGUCGACAGUACUCGCUGCAAAUUGAAAACUGAUACUCUGUUCAUAUUUAUUUUCGUAACUAAUGCAUUUUCUUCCAAUCUUCGCUGGUGGCGUUUGAACACGAAGGGUCGAAAUACAUCAACAGAAAAGUAUUUAACAUAUCAACUUCCGGCCCCGGUAUCCUCCAUGAUGUACGAAAAUUUGACCUUUCCGGUCGGGGGGAAAAGGUCACCCCGAUUACGCGAUAACCAGAAAAAGUUUGGCGAUUUCGGAGUAAAGGAACCGACGAAAAGGGGUUGAAAUAUCACAGACGAAGCGCGAGAGAGAAUGAGAGGCGAAAGAGCACGGUGCAGAUCACGGCUGAAAAACCAAUAUGCCUUGUGCGUCGGUAUGCAAUUAAAGGGUCGAGAGAGUUUACUGUCGAUAUUUUUCGACCAGCAAUUAUUGGAAUCUUUUUCCCCCCUGAUAUAGCCGGGUUAUAACCGGACCGGACCGACCGAGCACGGUAGUCCUGCAGGACUUUUCUGCAUGAAGGACCCUUCAGAAGCGGACAAAUGCGGCCACUAUAUGCACUUAUGGUUCUUUCCGCGCUUUCAUUAAAAAUUGGACUCUACUCUCUAAAGCACCUCGUGCCUUCUCUCGUCGCUCUUUUCUCUUACUCCUCGUCUCUUUUUUCCCCGUCCAUCCCUUUCGCUAUCCAACGUUCGCUAUUUUUCUCUCGUUUCCUCUAUUCUUUCAUCCAUACGCUUACUACGUUCCCCCACUCUCU